rnacentral:rRNA from 1 species
UACGUAGGGGGCAAGCGUUAUCCGGAAUCAUUGGGCGUAAAGGGCGCGUAGGUGGUUCUGUAUGUCUAUCGUGAAAGCGUACGGCUCAACCGUAUUUUGUCGGUAGAAACUGCAGGACUUGAGGCUGGGAGGGGCUGGUGGAAUUCCCUGUGUAGCGGUGAAAUGCGUAGAGAUGGGGGAGAACACUCGUGGCGAAGGCGGCCAGCUAGACCAGUUCUGACACUGAGGCGCGACAGCGUGGGGAGCAAACAGG